rnacentral:rRNA from 1 species
CCUACGGGAGGCAGCAGUGGGGAAUCUUGGACAAUGGGGGCAACCCUGAUCCAGCGACGCCGCGUGGGUGAUGAAGGCCUUCGGGUUGUAAAGCCCUUUUCCUGGGGACGAUGAUGACGGUACCUGGGGAAUAAGCACCGGCUAACUCCGUGCCAGCAGCCGCGGUAAGACGGAGGGUGCUAGCGUUGUUCGGAAUGACUGGGCGUAAAGGGCGCGUAGGCGGCCGAUCAAGUCGGGUGUGAAAGCCCGGGGCUCAACCCCGGAACGGCACCCGAUACUGGUGGGCUUGAGACCGGGAGAGGAGGGUGGAAUAUCCAGUGUAGAGGUGAAAUUCGUAGAUAUUGGAUGGAACACCAGUGGCGAAAGCGGCUCUCUGGCCCGGAUCUGACGCUGAGGCGCGAAAGCGUGGGGAGCAAACAGGAUUAGAUACCCUAGUAGUC